UGAUAGAACAGUAUGUGCACUGGAAUGAAGAUAUAGGGGAGUGGCAGUUGAAGUGUGUGGCCUACACUGGAAAUAAUAUGAGGAAACAGACACCACUGCCUGAGAAGGAAAAAGAUAAACUUGCAGAUUUUGACCUCUCUCAAGUCUACCUAGCCUACUCUGCAGAGAGUGCAGAAGAAGCCAUGAGACCUAAGACUGCUGGGAAGGAUCGACCCAAGACAGGCCGACCCAAGUCUUCGAGAAAGAAGAGGAAAGAAGCAGACAUUGAUUCCCUUCUCCAGUAAAUUAGACAGAUGAAAAUAACACGAAUUUGAACUAAAUUCUCACAUGGAAGAGAAGCAGAGCAGAGGUCAUCUGCAUACUAAAUUGCAUUUAUUAUAACAUCAUUAUUGAGUACAAACAGUAUGUGGAUUUAAUGUUUUGUGUAUUUGCAGAUCUCAGUUAAAUAUUAUUGUGCUCACUGGCAGUUUUAAAUGUUGUGCAUGGUUUUACACUGGUGUACUUGUAGAGUUGUUUUGUUAACCAGAUAUAUGUAGCUAAUAUUAUAUAGCUGUAGUGUGUAUGGUAGAGUUUCUGAGAGAGAGAGAGAGAGAGAGAGUGAGAAUAGAGAGAGUAAUGUGAUAAUUUAUUACAGUUCAUUUAUUAUCAUUAAAUAUACAAUUACAGUACAGUUUCCUUUAUUGUUUUACUACCAUCUUUGUUAUCCAGUAUAAACACCUGAAUUUUCUCUGUAUGUUUUGAGCUUUAACUUUAUUGAUAUCCAAUACUUAUAAG